rnacentral:lncRNA from 10 species
GACAAGGUGUGUAUGAUAAAGCAGUGGGAACCAGGCAAAGAAGAUCAUUAAAGCCCUUACCAGCCAAGGUGAAGGAGGUGACUUCUUAUGGGACAUGAUUUCUGAAGCAGAAGUUUACCUGAGGUUCCUGGAAGAAAUGUUUUCCCCACCUGUUGGCUCCCUGAGUAUUAACAUGCCAGAUGCAAAGCUUCAUUCAUUCUAUUAAAAUGCAAAUGAGCCCAACAGUGUAGUAAAACAGUUUGCUGCUAGAAGUUAUUUACAAUAUUCUAAGAGUAACGCUCUUAUUCACCCUAAGCACAGGUUUUAAUAAAAAGUGGAAGGGAUCGCAAGGGUAUUGAGAUCUCAGCAAGAGAAGGAAAGGGAAAAGGUUGUUUAAAAACAACAUUAAUAGAAGACAUACCGUAUAGAGAGAAAAACGCAGACUGUGCAUGUUCAAGAUAACUUUCAUUACAAUUUUGCCUAAGCCAGGGUGAAUGCAAAUGUUUCAGUUUUAACAGACUGGAUCAUUCAUUCAAAAAGCAUUUAUUGAGUGCCUUCUCAAAAAAGAAUGAUAAUUAGAUUUUUUAAGUUAUAAAGAAAAUAUAAAACCAAAACUGGAGAAAUAUACGCCAACAUUUUUCCAAUGGUUCCGUUGUCAAAGUAGAAUUAGAAUGUAAGUGCAGAGUUAAAUUCCAUUGUCUAUCAAGAAGUAAUUGUAAAGGAGCUAUGUCUAAAAAUGUAUCUUUUCAGUGAUUUUUGUUCUGAACAAUCUUCUGCCUCAAAUACAUUUUGGAUCUAUGAUUUGCAACCACUUUUUUUUGGUGGGUCAAGAUACCAGCACUGUAACUUUAAGAAGUUCAUCAUUAGCAUGCAUUUAAAAAAAUGUACCAAGUUAAGAAAAAAAUUGAAUAAAUGUACAUCUGUCUAAAGC